AAUACAAGUUAAUACUCUUCAUGGGACAUCUGCCAACAACAGUAAAAGAUAGUUUGCUGGAUGUUUGUGCGAAGAGUCCUCCAUAGAUGUAGCUUUCGACAUAGCAACCGAACGUGCACUAAUAACGUCUAUGGUGUUUGGCUGUUGUUACGAUGACAUCCACGAGAGAAACAUCAAUGUCCGCAUAGUGUGCCAUGACGACGAUGGAGAAGAUUGACUGGGAUGCGACAGUUGUGGCCAGUACUUCCACGCAAGUUGCAUCAAAGUGGAUUUCCCAGACUCUCUCUAGCUACCGGUACUUUGUCUGCCCUUGUUAAUUUCACAACAUCGUUGCGGAUUAGUGACGUAAAUUGAUAGUGGAGAAUAUUCGUCCCAGUGUGGGACUGGCUUAAGACUAAGCUAGGCUGCGUACAAUUCCUGAAAUUCCCGUUAUUUCACGAAUUAUUUGACGUUUAAGUAUUGACAAGUUUUUCGUAUUACGUAAGUAAAAUAUUGACUCGACACUCCAAGGAGAAUCUCUCUUCAAAUUUACCCUUUAAGAUUCGAAGUUACCGCCCAAAAUUCAAACGUUACUGUUAGGUUUCUUGGCGCAUUGAUAGCCUUGAAAAUGGCCUAAACACACUGAAAACAUUUUCAUUAGUUUUUGUAUAUCUUCAUCCUUUCUUCACUAUGAUCUUACACAUUUCGGGUUUGAACUUUUCGUGGGGAACACGUGCUACAGCUUACACGAUUUAUUUUAAAUUUAACCGCUGUACUAUAAACUCAUGUGUUCGACCCUCGACGAACGCCUUU
rnacentral:misc_RNA from 1 species